rnacentral:misc_RNA from 1 species
AGAGCCAGGGAGCGUCGCCAGCCUGGAAACAGGCCGGUGGCACCCUCCCGAACUCCACCCUUGAAUAAAUUACCUUUGUUGCUUUGGCGGGCCGCCUCGUGCCAGCGGCUUCGGCUGUUGAGUGCCCGCCAGAGGACCACAACUCUUGUUUUUAGUGAUGUCUGAGUACUAUAUAAUAGUUAAAACUUUCAACAACGGAUCUCUUGGUUCU